rnacentral:lncRNA from 1 species
AUGCUCGGGGAGCCCCUGGGAAGCCCUGCCUGGAUCCUCCUGCUCUGCUGGGGCCUGGUUGCUUGCUGCACAGGUAUGUGGGGGUUACUGGUAAGGUCAGCCCUGAGCUCUAUGCCCCUCAAGAGGUCUGUUCAGGGGUCUGGGGAUGAGCAGUGCCUCCGCCCCUUUGUGGGACCCUGCGUCCUCACCCGCUACAAAAAUGUGGGGUCUCAGGGUCACUCUCGACCUCCCACCGCACCCCUUUCUGCUCUCCCAGGUGCCAUGGCCUUGCAGCCGCCCAGCAUCACCACCCUGCGGAUGCCAGCAGAGCUUCCUCGCUCAGGUGAGAGUGUGACUGUGUCAUGUGAAGCAUUGAGUGAGCUUCCAGAGAUGACGCUGCUCUACUGGCUGGAGAAUGGCUUCUUUGUGGAGAGCCUGCACCCGGAUGGGUCUGUGCAUGAGGGGACAGUGCAAGAGGAGCUGCAGGGCUCGGGGUGGGCCCUGCACCGUGACCUGCACUUCAGCUCCUUCAACAACCAGCACCUGCACACCAACUUCACCUGCGUGGUGCUCAGUCCCCUCGGUGUCGACACCAGGGAGGUGCGAUGGCCGUCCCAAGCACUGGCCCCUGUCACUGGGAAGAGUGGUGGCCUGGGCUGA